rnacentral:rRNA from 1 species
UACGAAGGGGGCGAGCGUUGUUCGGAUUUACUGGGCGUAAAGGGCGCGCAGGCGGCUUUGUUUGUCAGGCGUGAAAGCCCCGGGCUUAACCUGGGAACUGCGUUUGAUACGGCAGGGCUAGAGUUCGGGAGAGGAGAGUGGAAUUCCCAGUGUAGAGGUGAAAUUCGUAGAUAUUGGGAAGAACACCGGUGGCGAAGGCGGCUACUCGUGGACCGAUACGUGACGCGUGACGGC